AGUGAACGCUGGCGAUAGGCCUAACACAUGCAAGUCGAACGGCAGCACAGUAAGAGCUUGCUCUUACGGGUGGCGAGUGGCGGACGGGUGAGGAAUACAUCGGAAUCUACUUUUUCGUGGGGGAUAACGCAGGGAAACUUACGCUAAUACCGCAUACGACCUACGGGUGAAAGCAGGGGAUCUUCGGACCCUGCGCGAUUGAAUGAGCCGAUGUCGGAUUAGCUAGUUGGCGGGGUAAAGGCCCACCAAGGCGACGAUCCGUAGCUGGUCUGAGAGGAUGAUCAGCCACACUGGAACUGAGACACGGUCCAGACUCCUACGGGAGGCAGCAGUGGGGAAUAUUGGACAAAGGGCGCAAGCCUGAUCCAGCCAUACCGCGUGGGUGAAGAAGGCCUUCGGGUUGUAAAGCCCUUUUGUUGGGAAAGAAAAGCAGCAGGUUAAUACCCCGCUGUUCUGACGGUACCCAAAGAAUAAGCACCGGCUAACUUCGUG
rnacentral:rRNA from 1 species